rnacentral:rRNA from 1 species
GAUGAACGCUGGCGGCGUGCUUAACACAUGCAAGUCGAACGGACGAUGAAGAGCUUGCUUUUCAGAGUUAGUGGCGGACGGGUGAGUAACGCGUGGGUAACCUGCCUCAUACAGGGGGAUAGCAGCUGGAAACGGCUGAUAAAACCGCAUAAGCGCACAGCAUCGCAUGAUGCAGCGUGAAAAACUCCGGUGGUAUGAGAUGGACCCGCGUCUGAUUAGCUAGUUGGUGAGGUAACGGCCCACCAAGGCGACGAUCAGUAGCCGGCCUGAGAGGGUGACCGGCCACAUUGGGACUGAGACACGGCCCAAACUCCUACGGGAGGCAGCAGUGGGGAAUAUUGCACAAUGGGGGAAACCCUGAUGCAGCGACGCCGCGUGAAGGAAGAAGUAUCUCGGUAUGUAAACUUCUAUCAGCAGGGAAGAUAAUGACGGU